rnacentral:rRNA from 1 species
GAUGAACGCUGGCGGCGUGCCUAAUACAUGCAAGUCGAGCGAACAGACGAGGAGCUUGCUCCUCUGACGUUAGCGGCGGACGGGUGAGUAACACGUGUAUAACCUCCCUAUAAGACUGGGAUAACUUCGGGAAACCGGAGCUAAUCCCGGAUAAUAUAUUGAACCGCAUGGUUCAAUAGUGAAAGACGGUUUUGCUGUCACUUAUAGAUGGAUCCGCGCCGCAUUAGCUAGUUGGUAAGGUAACGGCUUACCAAGGCAACGAUGCGUAGCCGACCUGAGAGGGUGAUCGGCCACACUGGAGGUGAGACACGGUCCAGACUCCUACGGGAGGCAGCAGUAGGGAAUCUUCCGCAGUGGGCGAAAGCAUGACGGAGCAGCGGCGCGUGAGUGAUGAAGGUCUUCGGAUCGUAAAACUCUGUUAUUAGGGAAGAACAAAUGUGUAAGUAACUAUGCACGUCUUGACGGUAACUAAUCAGAAAGCCACGGCUAACUACGUG